CCUACGGGGGACAGCAGUAGGGAAUAUUGCUCAAUGGGGGAAACCCUGAAGCAGCCACGCAGCGUGGAGGAUGAAGGUUUUCGGAUUGUUAACUCCUUUUGUUAGAGAAGAUAAUGACGGUAUCUAACGAAUAAGCACUGGCUAACUCCGUGACAGCAGCCGCGGUAAUACGGAGGGUGCAAGCGUUACUCGGAAUCACUGGGCGUAAAGGGCGCGUAGGCGGGAUAGCAAGUCAGAUGUGAAAUCCUAUGGCUUAACCAUAGAACUGCAGUUGAAACUGUUAUUCUAGAGUAUGGGAGAGGUAGGUGGAAUUCUUGGUGUAGGGGUAAAAUGCGUAGAGAUCAAGAGGAAUACUCAUUGCGAAGGCAGUCUGCUAGAACAUAACUGACGCUGAUGCGCGAAAGCGUGGGGAGCAAACAGGAUUAGAUACCCCAGUAGUC
rnacentral:rRNA from 1 species